UACGUAGAGUGCAAGCGUUGUCCGGAAUUAUUGGGCGUAAAGAGCUCGUAGGCGGUUCGUCGCGUCGGCUGUGAAAACCUGAGGCUCAACCUCAGGCCUGCAGUCGAUACGGGCGGACUUGAGUACUGCAGGGGAGACUGGAAUUCCUGGUGUAGCGGUGAAAUGCGCAGAUAUCAGGAGGAACACCGGUGGCGAAGGCGGGUCUCUGGGCAGUAACUGACGCUGAGGAGCGAAAGCGUGGGGAGCGAACAGG
rnacentral:rRNA from 1 species